AGAAAAUUUACGAAUAAUUCGUGACUUUUUUAAAUUACUCGAUUCUAAAUGAGAAAAUUCUGAUCAGGUUCAAAUUAUUUAUUUUUAUUUAAUGGAGAGCUCAGUUCUUAAAGUAAAAAAAAAUAAUUUUUUUUGUAGAUUCGUGUCUGACCUCAAAUUACUUCUGACAAAAAUUUGAAUUAUUGGAAAAAAUAUUAAAAUUUUAUGUCGUACGAAAGAGAAUUUUGGAAUCAUUUGAAAAUUUUCGAAUAAUUUGAAUUAUUCGAUUCGAUUUGAAACAAAUAAUUAGUAAAUUCGAACUAUUCGCACCCCUAAUAAUAAAUUGUUAAUUUAAAAAAAAGAAAAAUAUGAAUUUAUUUAAUUGAAAUACAGAAAAAAAAUGUAUGUAGAAAUGAGAAAGAGAAAAUACGAGAAAGAGAGGCUCGAGAAGAGGGGAGCCAAGGGUCUAUAUUAAAUGAUGCCGAGACUCAUGAAGGACCAGUUGUGAAGUCACUGUUGAGUUGAUAUAUUCAAAAAAUAUUAAUAUAAUUUAAUAUUUAUAAAAAUUAUUUUCUUUUAAUUUAAAAAAGUUUAUAAAAUUCGCGAAAAGUAUUUUACAAUAACAAUAUUGAACGAUAGUGCGAAUGAAGUUCAGCAUCGUGUUUCUUUUCUUCCUGGCGAUUCUCGGCGUAGUUGUCCACGGAUACCCCGUGAGCAACCCAGAUGCCGCAUUCGACAACAUGAGACAGAUUCCUCAAUGGCAUUGCCUGCGUUACAGGAAAUUUGAUUUGGUCCGACGUUGCAGAAAUUAUCGGCUAUCAAGAAAACACUGACACACAAGGAUCAAACUGGCUGAUACUGAGUAUCAUCCCAGUGACCUGCCCAAGAUCUACUUAAUGUCUCACAGAUUAACUCGUUUAAAAUUACAACCAAGACUUAUAGAAUGAUAUUAUUUUGUAGUGAUAUAGAUAUUGAAAAUAAAAAAAAAAAUGUUGGAAAAUCAAAAAGUG